rnacentral:rRNA from 1 species
GAUGAACGCUAGCUACAGGCUUAACACAUGCAAGUCGAGGGGCAGCAUGGUCUUAGCUUGCUAAGGCCGAUGGCGACCGGCGCACGGGUGAGUAACACGUAUCCAACCUGCCGUCUACUCUUGGACAGCCUUCUGAAAGGAAGAUUAAUACAAGAUGGCAUCAUGAGUCCGCAUGUUCACAUGAUUAAAGGUAUUCCGGUAGACGAUGGGGAUGCGUUCCAUUAGAUAGUAGGCGGGGUAACGGCCCACCUAGUCUUCGAUGGAUAGGGGUUCUGAGAGGAAGGUCCCCCACAUUGGAACUGAGACACGGUCCAAACUCCUACGGGAGGCAGCAGUGAGGAAUAUUGGUCAAUGGGCGCAGGCCUGAACCAGCCAAGUAGCGUGAAGGAUGACUGCCCUAUGGGUUGUAAACUUCUUUUAUAAAGGAAUAAAGUCGGGUAUGUAUACCCGUUUGCAUGUACUUUAUGAAUAAGGAUCGGCUAACUCCGUGCCAGCAGCCGCGGUAAUACGGAGGAUCCGAGCGUUAUCCGGAUUUAUUGGGUUUAAAGGGAGCGUAGAUGGAUGUUUAAGUCAGUUGUGAAAGUUUGCGGCUCAACCGUAAAAUUGCAGUUGAUACUGGAUAUCUUGAGUGCAGUUGAGGCAGGCGGAAUUCGUGGUGUAGCGGUGAAAUGCUUAGAUAUCACGAAGAACUCCGAUUGCGAAGGCAGCCUGCUAAGCUGCAAC